rnacentral:rRNA from 1 species
AGAACAAACGCUGGCGGCGUGCCUAAUACAUGCAAGUCGAACGAGGAAGUACCUUCGGGUAUUGUACUAGUGGCGUACGGGUGAGUAACGCGUGGAUAAUCUUCCUUAGAGUGGGGAAUAACUAGUCGAAAGAUUAGCUAAUACCGCAUAAGACCACAGGGGCUUCGGCUCAAGGGGUUAAAGGAGCAAUUCGCUCUAAGAUGAGUCUGCGCCCGAUUAGCUAGUUGGUGAGGUAACGGCUCACCAAGGCGACGAUCGGUAGCUGGUCUGAGAGGACGGCCAGCCACACUGGGACUGAGACACGGCCCAGACUCCUACGGGAGGCAGCAGUAGGGAAUAUUGCACAAUGGGGGAAACUCUGGAUGCAGCGACGCCGCGUGAGUGAUGAAGGCCUUCGGUUGUAAAGCUCUGUUCUCAGGAAAAGCAAGUGAUUGUACCUGAGGAGAAAGGACGGCUAACUUCGUGCCAGCAGCCGC